AGGCAGCAGGUGGGGAAUAUUGCACAAUGGGCGCAAGCCUGAUGCAGCCAUGCCGCGUGUGUGAAGAAGGCCUUCGGGUUGUAAAGCACUUUCAGUCGUGAGGAAGGCGGGUACGUUAAUAGCGUAUUCGUUUGACGUUAGCGACAGAAGAAGCACCGGCUAACUCCGUGCCAGCAGCCGCGGUAAUACGGAGGGUGCGAGCGUUAAUCGGAAUUACUGGGCGUAAAGCGCAUGCAGGUGGUUUGUUAAGUCAGAUGUGAAAGCCCCGGGGCUCAACCUCGGAAUAGCAUUUGAAACUGGCAGACUAGAGUACUGUAGAGGGGGUAGAAUUUCAGGUGUAGCGGUGAAAUGCGUAGAGAUCUGAAGGAAUACCGGUGGCGAAGGCGGCCCCCUGGACAGAUACUGACACUCAGAUGCGAAAGCGUGGGGAGCAAACAGGAUUAGAUACCCUGGUAG
rnacentral:rRNA from 1 species